rnacentral:tRNA from 1 species
UAAGGUAUAGCUCAGUGGUAGAGCGCAUGCUUAGCAUGCACAAGGUCCUAGGCUCAAUUCCCAGUACCUCCA